GACCCUGGCUAAGUCACCUCUCUGAACCUCAGCAUCCUCAUUAGUAAAAUAGUGGUAAUAAUAGCAUUUAUGUCACAGAAUUGUUGUGAGGAGAAAAUGGAAGGUUGACUGUAACUAAGCUUCUAACCUAUGUGGAUUGGCAGAGAGAAUGCUGAGGCUGUGUACCUGUGUAAGAGCCAUAGUUCCUUGGGAGAGAUACAUGUGGUUCUAGACAGUCUUCUAGAGAGACAGAAGAGGUUUGAAGCUACAGACAUGCAAGGGAAACCAGCUUCUCAACAUUUUCUUUAUUUCCAGAGAGGAGUUAGAAGCAUUAGUGAGGCUGAAGACAAAAAUAUGAAAAUAGUUGGAGAAAUCAGCAAAAUGGUCAAGAAAUACUAGGAUGUGAUUUAAUUAGUAGUUCAUGAUGAAUUCAAUUCUAAGAAGAUACAAUGAAGAUAGUCAAUGAAAGGGAGUCACCUAGAAAACUAAAAUGCUGAAAGAUCCUAAGGAAUGAUUGAGUUCAAGUGUGUGGUUUGCAUAAGUCCAGAGCAAAACAAAGUGGAAGGGCUAUUUUGAGUUGUAGAUAAUGACUAGUCAAUAGCUGUGAAUCUUAGAACAAAUCCUUUAAUUUCUCUAGAGAUGCUUCAUCUAUAAAAUGCAGGGAAUGAAUCUACAUGACCUCCAAUGUCCCUUCCAGUUCUACAUCUAUGACCCGAAGAUUCUUCGUUCACAAACUUGUUGUAUUUAAAAUCUGGCUUCAUUAUUAAUCAAUUUCUUUAUUAUUAA